UCUCGAGACCCUUUCGUCCCUAGAUAUUGGGCCAAUGGGUGCAACGGUGACAAGUAAAGGGUUGAAGGGCAUGAUCUAAGCAGGUGCUAACCCUCUGGAGGCCGUUAGAAGAAGAGGGGAGCGUCGCCUCGGGGCGCUAUUUUGCGGCGCGGAGGAGCACCGAGGUAGAAUGAAAAGAAGUGCUGACGCGCCCGGAAGGCCUCUGAUUGGUGGUCUUGAUAGAGAGGAGACGAGUACGGAGUUUGGGGAAGCUGAUGCCAUCCUUCAUCAGGAUUUGAUUUGCAUUUUUUAUGAUAUUCUAGACUGACGCUUACUACUAAAAGUGCGACACGUAAUCUAUCCUGAAAGAGCAGACAUUUUAGAAUUUAAAAGGGAACCAGGAUUCUCAUUCGAAGAAAAACAACUACUCUGACAUGCUUUAUGAUCCACAUGAGCAUCAGACCCUUAGAGGUUAUGUAUUCACUUUUUUAUUAAAGAGAAAAAAUUGAUGACAGAACAAAUCAAAUGUUGUACAUUGGAAGCCAAGAACAACAGCACAAGCCUUCUAACAUUAAUGGAGAGUUUGCUUACUUUGUUUUCUUUAGGAAAACAACAAAUCAGAUGAAAGCAAAGGGGAGAAGACUGAUUUUUCUUCUGCUGGACAUCUCACUUUUAAUAAAGCCAUCAUAAGACCAUACACAAAUCAGGUCAGUUAGAAAGAGAUUCUGCUCAGGGAAGACAAAAGAAAAACCACAUGUGACCUACUG